GGAGAUUGAGCUGGAUCUAUUUUAAUUGCCAUGAAGACAUCAUGGGCAGGAAGCAUGCAUGCUGGAAUAGAUUAGCAAACAUUGACUCCUCACGAAAGCCACAGCCUUCCAACUGCAACUCAGUGGUCAGAGGAGGAUGAGCAAAAGUGGAGGACAGAGAAUGAACCGACGUGGAGCUGAGCAGCCUCUUCUGCGUGGCGAUUUGGAGAACACAGUCAGCAUGCACACACACCAUUCUUCAGGUGCAGUUAUGAUGGAAGGAUGGUCCUGUCUCAUCCCUACACCUGUGAGGCCUCAGUUCUGCCUCUCUCCCCUGUUGUGGGCUUGGAAGGAAAAGCCUCCAGCUCCGAGUCUGCUGCCAGGAGGAGGUUCUUCCAUUUGAUAAGGU
rnacentral:lncRNA from 1 species